rnacentral:rRNA from 1 species
UACGUAGGGUCCGAGCGUUGUCCGGAAUUAUUGGGCGUAAAGAGCUCGUAGGCGGUUUGUCGCGUCGACUGUGAAAACCCGAGGCUCAACCUCGGGUCUGCAGUCGAUACGGGCGGACUGGAGUACUGCAGGGGAGACUGGAAUUCCUGGUGUAGCGGUGAAAUGCGCAGAUAUCAGGAGGAACACCGGUGGCGAAGGCGGGUCUCGUGGGCAGUAACUGACGCUGAGGUGCGAAAGCGUGGGGAGCAAACAGG